rnacentral:rRNA from 1 species
UGGGGAAUUGUUCGCAAUGGGCGCAAGCCUGACGACGCAACGCCGCGUGGAGGAUGAAGGUCUUCGGAUUGUAAACUCCUGUUGACCGGGAAGAACAGGUUUCAACCUAAUACGUUGGAGCACUGACGGUACCGGUUGAGGAAGCCACGGCUAACUCUGUGCCAGCAGCCGCGGUAAUACAGAGGUGGCAAGCGUUGUUCGGAAUUACUGGGCGUAAAGGGCGCGUAGGCGGCCUUCUAAGUCAGACGUGAAAUCCCCAGGCUUAACUUGGGAACUGCGUCUGAUACUGGGAGGCUUGAGUGCGGGAGAGGGAUGUGGAAUUCCAGGUGUAGCGGUGAAAUGCGUAGAUAUCUGGAGGAACACCGGUGGCGAAGGCGGCAUCCUGGACCGACACUGACGCUGAGGCGCGAAAGCCAGGGGAGCAAACGGG